GGCUUUACUGUCUCUUACUUCCGAUCCGUGAAAUUGACCUUCCCGUGAAGAGGCGGGAAUAUGACAAUAAGACGAGAAGACCCUAUGGAGCUUUAAUUAACCGACCCAAAGAGAUCUUAACAACUAACCGAUAGGGACAACAAACCUCUACCAUGGGUCGACAAUUUAGGUUGGGGUGACCUCGGAGAAUAAAACAACCUCCGAGUGAUUUAAAUCUAGACUAACCAGUCGAAAGUACUACAUCACUUAUUGAUCCAAAAACUUGAUCAACGGAACAAGUUACCCUAGGGAUAACAGCGCAAUCCUAUUUUAGAGUCCAUAUCGACAAUAGGGUUUACGACCUCGAUGUUGGAUCAGGACAUCCCGAUGGUGCAGCAGCUAUCAAAGGUUCGUUUGUUCAACGAUUAAAGUCCUACGUGAUCUGAGUUCAGACC
rnacentral:rRNA from 1 species